rnacentral:rRNA from 1 species
CCGCACAAGCGGCGGAGACAGUGCGGAUUAAUUCGAUGCAACGCGAAGAACCUUACCAAGGCUUGACAUACACCGGUAACGCCCAGAGAUGGGUGCCCCUUUGUGGUCGGUGGACAGGUGGUGCAUGGUUGUCGUCAGCUCGUGUCGUGAGAUGUUGGGUUAAGUCCCGCAACGAGCGCAACCCUCGUCCUAUGUUGCCAGCGGGUCAUGCCGGGGACUCAUGGGAGACUGCCGGGGUCAACUCGGAGAAGUGGGGAUGACGUCAAAUCAUCAUGCCCCUUAUGUCUUGGGCUUCACGCAUGCUACAAUGGCCGGUACAAAGGGCUGCGAUACCGCGAGGUGGAGCGAAUCCCAGAAAGCCGGUCUCAGUUCGGAUUGGGGUCUGCAACUCGACCCCCAUGAAGUCGGAGUCGCUAGUAAUCGCAGAUCAGCAACGCUGCGGUGAAUACGUUCCCGGGCCUU